rnacentral:rRNA from 1 species
GACGAACGCUGGCGGCGUGCCUAAUACAUGCAAGUAGAACGCUGAAGGAGGAGCUUGCUUCUCUGGAUGAGUUGCGAACGGGUGAGUAACGCGUAGGUAACCUGCCUGGUAGCGGGGGAUAGCUAUUGGAAACGAUAGCUAAUACCGCAUAAUAGCAGUUGUUGCAUGACAACUGUUUGAAAGGUGCAAUUGCACCACUACCAGAUGGACCUGCGUUGUAUUAGCUAGUUGGUGGGGUAACGGCUCACCAAGGCGACGAUACAUAGCCGACCUGAGAGGGUGAUCGGCCACACUGGGACUGAGACACGGCCCAGACUCCUACGGGAGGCAGCAGUAGGGAAUCUUCGGCAAUGGACGGAAGUCUGACCGAGCAACGCCGCGUGAGUGAAGAAGGUUUUCGGAUCGUAAAGCUCUGUUGUAAGAGAAGAACGAGUGUGAGAGUGGAAAGUUCACACUGUGACGGUAUCUUACCAGAAAGGGACGGCUAACUACGUG